UUUCCGUAGGUGAACCUGCGGAAGGAUCAUUAUUGUAUAACCGAGGUGCGAGAGCUGUCGCUGACCCGAAAGGUCGUGCACGCCCGAGUGCCCUCACACAUCCAUCUCACCCCUAUGUGCACCACCGCGUGGGUCCCCCUUUGGCUUGUUCGGAGGGGGGCUUACGUUUUCACACAAACUUUGUAUGCAGUGUAGAAUGUAUUUUUUGUUUUUGCGAUCACGCAAUCAAUACAACUUUCAACAACGGAUCUCUUGGCUCUC
rnacentral:misc_RNA from 1 species